CAAAAGUAAAAAGAAAAAAAUUAAAGAAAAAAGAUCAAUUCAAAGAAAAAAAUGAGAAAAAUGGUAAGCAUAAAAUGACUGAAUUAAAUUCGAACGUAUCAGUAAUUACAUUACAUAUACAUGGAUGAUAUACUUCCACUAAAUAAGUAUUGUUACUGUGGGUCUUGAUGAUAUUAAGAUUAAUGCAAUGUGGGAUUAUAAAUAGAAUCCUGGCCCCAUAUAAGGACAAUGGUGACAAAAUGUGAAACCUGAAUAAGGCCUAGUAUAUAAUCUGUUCUGGAGAAUGUUCCCUGUGCUCUUGAAUGUGUAUUCUGUUGCUGUUGGGUGGAAUGUUCUAUAGGUGGUUCAUUUAGUUUAGUUCAAGUCUAAUAUUUCCUUACUUAUUCUCAGUCUAGAUAGAUAAUCUAUCCAUUGUUGAAAGUGGGGUAAUGAAAAUCUCUACUGUUGUUGUAAUUAUGUUUUAUUUCUUUCUUCAGAUGCGUUAAUAUUGGCCUUAUAUAUUCAGGUGCUCUACUGUUGGGUACAUACAUAUUUAUAAUUGGUACAUCUAGAUGAAGUGGCCAUUUUAUUAUGUGACCUCCUUUUCUCUUGUUAAAGGUUUUGAUAUACUGUUUUGUCUGAUACAAGCAUACUCCUGCUCUUUUUUGGUUUCUGUUUGCAAGGAGUAUCCCUGUCCAUCCCUUCAGUCUACUUGUGUCCUUAAAGGACCACAUUUGAAAACUACCAUUCCAGAUACAGGGACUGUGUCUCUGUUAUUUCCCAGUGUAUUCAGAUUUGACAUCAUUGAUCCUAGAACACAGUAAUCCUUCACCAGUAUGAGAGCCUCCACUCUCUGGGAAAAUUCAAUGAAUGACUCAGUCCUUGAGUGACUCCAUUUACUUUAAGCAGCUCUGGAAACAUGUCUGCCUAGAAGGAAAAGUGUCUACCUGGUGAUGUAAGUAUGUGAUUUUCUAGAACAAUACACUUUCUGCAUACCUGAUAACAAUUCGUCAGGCCAUCAACCAUCUUCCUUUCUGCCUCUGUCUUUUCUUCAUAAAGGCAGGCUG